rnacentral:rRNA from 1 species
GAUGAACGCUGACAGAAUGCUUAACACAUGCAAGUCGAUGGGGAAGUGGUGCUUGCACCAUGGUAACCAUGGCGGACGGGUGAGUAACGCGUAAGGAACUUGCCUGCGGGACUGGGAUAACAGCAGGAAACUGCUGAUAAUACCGGAUAAGGUCAUUAAGCUGCAUAGCUUAGUGAUGAAAGGAGACGCCUGCGGAGAGCCUUGCGUCCUAUUAGCUAGUUGGAGGGGUAACGGCCCACCAAGGCGAAGAUAGGUAGCCGGCCUGAGAGGGUGGACGGCCACAAGGGGACUGAGAUACGGCCCUUACUCCUACGGGAGGCAGCAGUGGGGAAUAUUGGACAAUGGGGGCAACCCUGAUCCAGCAAUUCUGUGUGCACGAAGACGGCUUUCGGAUUGUAAAGUGCUUUCAGCAGGGAAGAAGGAAGUGACGGUACCUGCAGAAGAAGCGACGGCUAAAUACGUG